GUCUCACCAUCAUGUCUCGGCUUUACCAGGAUUUUUUCUUCUUUAUUUCAGUUUCUUUCAAGAAUCAAGACUACCAAGGACAAUCAAAGUCAGUAUAUAAAUAAUAUUUCAACACAUGGACGCCUAAAGUGUUGCCUGCAUGUUGUCAUGAAAAUAGUGGUUACGUGGAUCAUCAGAUUAAGGUAAAUACAUAUCUCAAUACAUCAUGCUUAUUAUAAUUUCUAAUUGUCGCUUUGUGCGGAGUAGGAGAUACAGAAGUGCAUUAGUAAGAAAUUUGUAAAAAACAAAUCCUACAUACGACUAUUUGUGGUCGUUAUUAGAAGGGCAAAGGGAGCUUCCUAAUUCUGAUGGUCAGAAACAUAGUCUAAGUAUCAGGGGCAAUAACCACCCUGCAAGGCUCCAAAAAGGUAUUUGUUUCCCUUACCAUGUCCAUGAUGCAGCUCCGAUGACAAUGUAAAGUUCUGUCACUUCGCACACGUAUUCCUCUCCUUUUCUUUUGCGUGUUCAUACACUCAGGUUUUUCUUUCUAUUUUGUUAAUCAUUCAUGCCCGAUGCUUUUUCAUUCCUUCCCCUCUUCUCUCACUGUUGUUCAUCAGGAUUGUCGCAACUACCUGCCUCUUGGUUUCGGUUCAACCUUCUGACUGCAGGGCAUUGCUUCUACUGCAAAGAUUAACACUAUACUUCGUAUGAUAUAAGAUAACCCUGUAAAGAAUUUUAUGUUUAGUAUAGUCGCUUUGUGAUUAUCUCUAUUCUACAGUCUGGAUGUCCAAGCAAUAACAUGGUUUGCUUAUUUAUUCUUGCAUGUAUACAACACUUUCUAGCCAUUCUUUUAUAUUUUAUCCAAAUAAAUAUAAUCUCACAUAACACUGACAGCCGACGACCUUCUCUGCCCUUGAAUCGGUAUGAAUGACUGACGAAGAAUUUAAUUUCCAAAUACAUAUUCCAUUUAUCAGCCCUUUGGUUAUAUUGUCAUAGAAUAUAGUCACAAGCUUGAAAGAAGACAUAAGUGGAUGUCUUAGAUAUGAAUGGCAUAAAAGUUAGUCGUAUGUAGUGUGUUUCUGACAAAUUAAGUGUACGUGCCAUUUUUUUUCAAUUGUGAUCGUAAGUAUACAUGUUAUCAAUCCAUCCAAGUGAGAUAGGCAAACUGACUCCUGAUGAGAAGGGAAGUGAGACCUUACGUGACUCUCCCAGUUCUGUAAUGAGAACAUGAAACAUCAAAUUUGUACAAACAGCUAGACAGCCGCACCUAAGUCGAAGGUAAAUAAAAUACACAUGAUAUGUGAUUAAUCCCAGUAAAACAUACAGUAAGAAGGAACAAAACAUAUAAUUAAUCAGAGCAAACUGAAUGAUUGUGUAAUACUGAAGUAGAGGCAUAUAAUUACUUCGUUAUUAUCUCUAUACUACGAUCCGAUGUUCUAGCAAUAACAUGGUUUUAUUCGUUUGUGCAGAACCAAACAUACACCUUGCAGUCUAGGCAUUGUUUUAUGUUAUUCCCAUAUAUCAAUAUGAGUUCACACAACACUGACGGCCGACAACCUUCUCUGCCGUUGGAUUAGGAUCCCACAUAUGACUGACGGGUGACGAUUUUUUCUCUACUCUUGCAUCGAGCUAUUUUUUAUCAUUGUAGAACUUCAGUCAGGAAGACACUUAACUUAUAUUUUGUUUUUAUUUAGAAUAUGGUUUGCCAAUUCUAGCUUAUAAGCCUUUUAUAUGGAAUUCCAGGGAUCCUAUAUUUCUAUGCAGACAACAUUGGCAGCCUUUAAUUCCAUUGACAUUGCUACCUUGCAAUACAAUGUCUUCAUGAAAUGACAGCAUGAACAAAACUAAGUGCAACCUUAUACUAUAUAUACAAAACUGCAGAGAUGUGAAAUGAUCCCUCAGUCCACCUUACUGGUUACUAUUCUAAGCCUACUAUUCACUUUGGUUUUGCUGAAAGGAGUCUGGCACAUCCAUUCAUGGAUACAAAACCACCAUGCAUUCUAUUACGCUACUUAUAUGUAAUGGAUAUUUUAAACUAUACAAUAAUAAUCAAGUAUUGUAAAUCAUAGUAUUAUUUUCAGUUGUGAUUGUCAUUUUAUUGCCAAUGUUCAUAUUCCUACAAAAAGAAUCUCACUUAAAUAUACUGCAACCAAUUCCCG
rnacentral:lncRNA from 1 species